GACGAACGCUGGCGGCGUGCCUAAUACAUGCAAGUCGAGCGAGCGGAACCAACAGAUUUACUUCGGUAAUGACGUUGGGAAAGCGAGCGGCGGAUGGGUGAGUAACACGUGGGGAACCUGCCCCUAAGUCUGGGAUACCAUUUGGAAACAGGUGCUAAUACCGGAUAAUAAAGCAGAUCGCAUGAUCAGCUUUUGAAACGCGGCGUAAGCUGUCGCUAAGGGAUGGCCCCGCGGUGCAUUAGCUAGUUGGUAAGGUAACGGCUUACCAAGGCGACGAUGCAUAGCCGAGUUGAGAGACUGAUCGGCCACAUUGGGACUGAGACACGGCCCAAACUCCUACGGGAGGCAGCAGUAGGGAAUCUUCCACAAUGGACGCAAGUCUGAUGGAGCAACGCCGCGUGAGUGAAGAAGGUUUUCGGAUCGUAAAGCUCUGUUGUUGGAGAAGAAGGAUAGAGGUAGUAACUGGCCUUUAUUUGACGGUAAUCAACCAGAAAGUCACGGCUAACUACGUGCCAGCAGCCGCCGUAAGAC
rnacentral:rRNA from 1 species